CCUGGUGGUCCAGGCACCGAGUGGACGGAUUAUGCCUCGGCAGGUGGUCAAGGCCAGGCACAACAGCAGCAGAAUGCAACAAACGCAAAUUGGGUGCAAUUCUAAUUAGGUUUGAACAAUUAUAUAAAUACAUAUACAUAAACUCAUUCAGAGAAGCAUAAAAGUAAAUGUAUGUACAUUAAUAACAUACUAAUGCUAGAAAGAUUUAACAACAAACAAAGAAAGCGAACAAGAAAACUAAACAAGAAGCUUUUGGCCAGAAUCGUAUUGCAUAUAAUUUAUUGCAUUCAUGUUAGUAAUAUUUUGCGCGGCUAUGUAUAAGUACAUGUAACACUAAUCAUACAAUAUCGACAAUUUAACGAAAUUUAAGGAAUUAGCAAAAAGUUAAAACGGUAAUCAAACCAGUUUAUGGUAUAGCAAAAAUUAAAAAAAAAA